rnacentral:rRNA from 1 species
AGAGCGAACGCUGGCGGCAGGCCUAAUACAUGCAAGUCGAACGAACCCUUCGGGGUUAGUGGCGGACGGGUGAGUAACACGUGGGAACGUGCCCUUUGGUUCGGAACAACUCAGGGAAACUUGAGCUAAUACCGGAUAAGCCCUUCGGGGGAAAGAUUUAUCGCCAUUGGAGCGGCCCGCGUCUGAUUAGUUAGUUGGUGAGGUAAAGGCUCACCAAGGCUUCGAUCAGUAGCUGGUCUGAGAGGAUGAUCAGCCACACUGGGACUGAGACACGGCCCCAGACUCCUACGGGAGGCAGCAGUAGGGAAUCUUGCGCAAUGGGCAAAGCCUGACGCAGCCAUGCCGCGUGAAUGAUGAAGGUCUUAGGAUUGUAAAAUUCUUUCAGCGGGACGAUAAUGACGGUACCCGCAGAAGAACGCCCCGGACUAACUUCGCGCCAGCAGCCGC